GAGUUUGAUCAUGGCUCAGAUUGAACGCUGGCGGCAGGCCUAACACAUGCAAGUCGAGCGGUAGAGAGAAGCUUGCUUCUCUUGAGAGCGGCGGACGGGUGAGUAAAGCCUAGGAAUCUGCCUGGUAGUGGGGGAUAACGUUCGGAAACGGACGCUAAUACCGCAUACGUCCUACGGGAGAAAGCAGGGGACCUUCGGGCCUUGCGCUAUCAGAUGAGCCUAGGUCGGAUUAGCUAGUUGGUGAGGUAAUGGCUCACCAAGGCGACGAUCCGUAACUGGUCUGAGAGGAUGAUCAGUCACACUGGAACUGAGACACGGUCCAGACUCCUACGGGAGGCAGCAGUGGGGAAUAUUGGACAAUGGGCGAAAGCCUGAUCCAGCCAUGCCGCGUGUGUGAAGAAGGUCUUCGGAUUGUAAAGCACUUUAAGUUGGGAGGAAGGGCAUUAACCUAAUACGUUAGUGUUUUGACGUUACCGACAGAAUAAGCACCGGCUAACUCUGUGCCAGCAGCCGCGGUAAUACAGAGGGUGCAAGCGUUAAUCGGAAUUACUGGGCGUAAAGCGCGCGUAGGUGGUUUGUUAAGUUGGAUGUGAAAUCCCCGGGCUCAACCUGGGAACUGCAUUCAAAACUGACUGACUAGAGUAUGGUAGAGGGUGGUGGAAUUUCCUGUGUAGCGGUGAAAUGCGUAGAUAUAGGAAGGAACACCAGUGGCGAAGGCGACCACCUGGACUAAUACUGACACUGGGGUGCGAAAGCGCGGGGAGCAAACAGGAUUAGAUACCCUGGUAGUCCACGCCGUAAACGAUGACAACUAGCUGUUGGGAGACAAUGUCUUUCAGUGGCGCAGCUAACGUUUUAAGUUGUCCGCCUGGGGAGUACGGCCGCAAGGCUAAAACUCAAAUGAAUUGACGGGGACCCGCACAAGCGGUGGAGCAUGUGGUUUAAUUCGAUGCAACGCGAAAAACCUUACCUACUCUUGACAUACUUGGAAGCUCUUGUAAUGAGAGUGUGUCUUUUGGAACCAAGAUACAGGUGCUGCAUGGCUGUCGUCAGCUCGUGUCGUGAGAUGUUCCGUUAAGUCGGAUAACGAGCGCAACCCUUACCCUUAUUUGCCAGCGAUUCGGUCGGGAACUAUAAGGGGACUGCCGGUGAUAAACCGGAGGAAGGUGAGGACGACGUCAAGUCAUCAUGGCCCUUACGAGUAGGGCUACACACGUGCUACAAUGGGGAAUACAGACGGACGCUAAGCCGCGAGGUGGUGCUAAUCCUAGAAAGUUUCUCGUAGUCCGGAUUGGAGUCUGCAACUCGACUCCAUGAAGUCGGAAUCGCUAGUAAUCGCGGAUCAGCAUGCCGCGGUGAAUACGU
rnacentral:rRNA from 1 species